UACGUAGGUGGCAAGCGUUGUCCGGAUUUACUGGGCGUAAAGAGCGCGCAGGCGGUCAGAUAAGUCGAAUGUGAAAGCCCCCGGCUUAACUGGGGAGGGUCAUUCGAUACUGUUCGACUCGAAGGCAGGAGAGGGAAGCGGAAUUCCCGGUGUAGUGGUGAAAUGCGUAGAUAUCGGGAGGAACACCAGUGGCGAAGGCGACUACCUGGCCUGUUCUUGACGCUGAGGCGCGAAAGCUAGGGGAGCAAACGGG
rnacentral:rRNA from 1 species